UACAGAGGUCUCAAGCGUUGUUCGGAUUCAUUGGGCGUAAAGGGUGCGUAGGUGGGUAGGUAAGUCAGUGGUGAAAUCUUCGAGCUUAACUCGGAAACUGCCAUUGAUACUAUUUAUCUUGAAUACUUUGGAGGUAAGCGGAAUAUGUCAUGUAGCGGUGAAAUGCUUAGAUAUGACAUAGAACACCAAUUGCGAAAGGCAGCUUACUACACAGUUAUUGACACUGAGGCACGAAAGCGUUGGGGAUCAAACAGG
rnacentral:rRNA from 1 species